UACGGAGGGUGCAAGCGUUGUCCGGAAUCAUUGGGCGUAAAGAGUUCGUAGGCGGCACGUAAAGUCUGGUGUUAAAGGUCGAGGCUCAACCUCGGUAUGGCACUGGAUACUUGCGAGCUAGAAUGCGGUAGAGGUAAAGGGAAUUCCUGGUGUAGCGGUGAAAUGCUUAGAUAUCAGGAGGAACAUCGGUGGCGUAAGCGCUUUACUGGGCCGUAAUUGACGCUGAGGAACGAAAGCCAGGGUAGCAAAUGGG
rnacentral:rRNA from 1 species